UACAGAGACUGCAAGCGUUAUUCGGAUUCACUGGGCGUAAAGGGUGCGCAGGCGGCCAAGUGUGUUAGGCGUGAAAGCCCGGGGCUUAACCCCGGAAUUGCACCUAAAACUACAUGGCUAGAGCAUUGGAGAGGGUAGCGGAAUUCACGGUGUAGCAGUGAAAUGCGUAGAUAUCGUGAGGAACACCAGAGGCGAAGGCGGCUACCUGGACAAUUGCUGACGCUCAGGCACGAAAGCGUGGGGAGCAAAAAGGG
rnacentral:rRNA from 1 species